CCUACGGGUGGCAGCAGUGGGGGAUAUUGCACAAUGGAGGGAAGUCUGAUGCAGCGACGCCGCGUGAGGGAAGAAGGUUUUCGGAUUGUAAACCUCUGUCUUCGGUGACGAAAAGAGACGGUAGCCGAGGAGGAAGCAACGGCUAAGUACGUGCCAGCAGCCGAGGUACUACGUAGGUGGCAAGGGUUGUCCGGAAUUACGGGGGGUAAAGGGAGCGUAGGGGGGAAAGCAGGUAGAAGGUUAAGGGUACGGGCUCAACCUGGACAAGCGUUCAAAACUGUUUGUCUUGAGUGGAGUAGAGGUAAGCGGAAUGCCUAGUGUAGCGGUGAAAUGCGUAAAUAUUAGGAGGAACACCAGUGGCGAAGGCAGCUUACUGGGCCUUAACUGACGCUGAGGCUCGAAAGCGUGGGUAGCAAACAGGAUUAGAUACCCGAGUAGUC
rnacentral:rRNA from 1 species